GCGGACCAUGCUGGCACCUUACCUUGGACUUUCCAGCUUCCAGAACUGGGUUCAACAGGAUGGUCUUGGGAUCCUAGGCAUCAUGGAGGGCUGAAGAAACAUCAAGGGGAGCCCCAGAAAUUCACCACGGGAUCCCAGCCUCAGGCCCGCCUAGACAGUGUGCGGGGCUUCUCACCAGUAUGGAUUCUCUGAUGUAGAGUAAGCUGAGAGCCAUGACUAAAGGCCUUGCCACACUCCUUGCAUUCAUAGGGUUUUUCUCCAGUGUGAAUUCGCUGAUGUUGAGUCAACUGUGAACCACGAAUAAAGGCUUUCCCACAUU
rnacentral:lncRNA from 1 species